rnacentral:rRNA from 1 species
CAGUCGCCGCGGGAAUACAGAGGGUGCGAGCGUUAAUCGGAUUUACUGGGCGUAAAGCGUGCGUAGGCGGCUUCUUAAGUCGGAUGUGAAAUCCCUGAGCUUAACUUAGGAAUUGCAUUCGAUACUGGGAAGCUAGAGUAUGGGAGAGGAUGGUAGAAUUCCAGGUGUAGCGGUGAAAUGCGUAGAGAUCUGGAGGAAUACCGAUGGCGAAGGCAGCCAUCUGGCCUAAUACUGACGCUGAGGUGCGAAAGCGUGGGGAGCAAACAGGAUUAGAUACCCGCGUAGUCCCUGUCUCUUAUAC